UGGUCUUGACAUAGAAAGAACUUUCCAGAGAUGGAUUGGUGCCUGCUUGCAGGAGCUUUCAUACAGGUGCUGCACGGCUGUCGUCAGCUCGUGUCGUGAGAUGUUGGGUUAAGUCCCGCAACGAGCGCAACCCUCGUCAAUAGUUGCCAGCAGGUUAAGCUGGGCACUCUAUUGAGACUGCCUUCGCAAGGAGGAGGAAGGUGAGGACGACGUCAAGUCAUCAUGGCCCUUAUAGGCUGGGCUACACACGUGCUACAAUGGUGGUAACAACGGGAAGCAAUGGCGCGAGCCGGAGCCAAUCCCUGAAAAGCCAUCUCAGUUCGGAUUGUUCUCUGCAACUCGAGAGCAUGAAGUUGGAAUCGCUAGUAAUCGCGGAUCAGCGUGCCGCGGUGAAUACGUUCCCGGGUCU
rnacentral:rRNA from 1 species